rnacentral:lncRNA from 1 species
CGCCGCUGGGUGGGAAUAACCGCUGGGCUCGGAGGGGUGGGCGCUGCCGGCGAGGAGCUGGUGGAGAUGCAGGCAGCGCCCGAGCCGGGCAGCGCCGCUCCGUGCUCCUGGGAACCGGAGGGGGAGAGGGGGAAGGGGCUGGUGCGGUGGAAUAUCAUUAUCCGCUCUAGAAGUGGGUCAGGGCGCAGGCAUUGGCAUCGCUGCUCUGGGGAGACAAAACGAGAGCAAAAGAAUAAAAAUAAGAAAUAAAAAUGAAGAAAAAAAGAAUACGUAACAACAGUCAACAAAACCCCAAAGCAUCCAAAUGAGAAGUGUAAAAUUAAGGGCUAAAGACACCACGUCCCACGGCCGGGACACCUCGGAACAGCGCUUGGGGCUUUGGCAGCACGAGGGCACAGCCGAUCCCCCACCUCACCGCAGGCAGUGUGAGCAGCGCUGUGUUAGCGGUGCCGUUCCCGUCGGGGUGGUGGGAACAGCUCUGCACAGAUGUGAGAUGACAUUUAAUGGUGGGCAGCUUCAGCGCGGCAGCACCCAGUGCCUUACAGGUGGCUGUGCUGCUCUGCCCUCCUUCCCCAGGUAUGGGAGCUGCGGCCUCUCCUUCCAGGAGAACAUAAAACUUUCAGUGCCCCUGCUCUAGCUGGGGAGGGCAGAGCUCUCUCGCCGUGAAGCAAAUUGGCAAAUUCAGAGUGAAAGACUGCAGGAGAAAUUGCCGAGACGUUCAAGCAUUGUGUCUGGAAAGCAGGCGGUGGACGUGUCUCCCAUGCAAGGUCAGCAUCUUUCAGGAUGUGCAGAGCUGACAUACAAUAGAGGUUGGUUCAUUAGGAGGAUUAGCUCUGAAUGACAGCUCUUGUCCAACGGACUCCUGGUAUCAUGGCCAGAGACAAGUUCCAUGUGCUGAUAUCCCCCAGCAAAAGACUAUUUUAGAAUUGUCCUAAAGGAAAACGUUGUUACAGAUUGUAGUCAGCUGAUUUUCCUGUUGCUGAAAGAACCCAGAUGCCAGGAAGCUACUGCAGUAACUUCAGUGCAAACAUGCUCAAACACAGACAGACGCAUGCAUGCCAAAGCAUUAAUACCAGUGGGUAAUCUUCUCGAGAUUCACUUCAGCUCCAGCACCGUUCUGCAACUGGCUUAGAUUCUCAGUAGCAAUAGGAAUUGUACAAUAUUGCACUGAUAUUAUUGGAAUACAUAGUAUAAAAUACACAGUACUCAACUUCCAAAGCGUUGUAUGGAGUAAUAUGAGUUCUUUCGUUAAAGGUCACAGGUGGGAAAGAAGGAAUAUUCAGUCACUCUGGAGAUGGAUUUUCACCACCACAGCUAAACACAGGUAUUUUAUUACAGACCAGUGCAGGGUGAGAUAUGGCCAUUUGGUGCUGUCAAUGCCCACAGGACAAUGGAAGCACAUGGCUGCCAGGAUGCCUCUCCACAUGGCUUUCUGCAGGCUGGGAGGUGGACAUGACUUGCUUGUGAGUACCUGUGAGCCUGCAGAGCUAUCAGCCUCCCUCCAUCCUGUGGGGAUCACUUUCUGUCUCCAGAUUUCAGAUGUUCUCAAAGCUUUGUGACCAGCUGACAAGGCUAAAGGAUCACCUCCAGCAGCUGCUGAUGCAGUUACCUACACAGGGUGGCACUGGAAAAGCUUUGGGUAGGUAACCUACAACGUGACACAAUAGCAAGUAGACAUGAAAAAAGCUUGAAGUUAACAUUUCAGAUUUCCAUUUCUUCAAAACUUUUUACAUUGCUGGAGAAACCCAUGUGUAAAUUCCAAACAUUAAAAAAUAUGUGUGCAAAAGCUGAAUGUUGUCCUGGAGAUAGUUAUGACAGCCAUCAUAAGGAAUAUUAUCAUCCUAAGUGAGAACAUGAGAACCUAAUGAGGUUUAACAAGGCCAAGGUGUUGCACUUGGGUUGUGGCAAUCCCAGAUAUGAGUAUGGACUGGGAGAAGAACUCCUUGAGAGCAGCCCUGCAGAGAAGGACUUGGGAGUCCUGGUGGAUGAAAAGCUGGACAUGAGCCAGCAGUGUGCUCUUAAGCCUGGAAAGCCAACUGUGUUUGGACCUGGAGCCUCUGCACAAGAAAGACAUGGAGCUCUUGGAGCAGGUCCAGAGGAGGACAGGAAGAUGAUCAGAGGGCUGGAGCAUGUCUCCCACAGAGGAAGACUGAGGGAGCUGGGCUUCUUCAGCCUGGAGGAGGCUCUGGGGAGACUUCAUUGCAGCCUUCCAGUACUUGAAGGGAACUUACAAGCAGGAGGGGGAUUGACUUUUUAUGUGGCCUGAUAAUGACAGGACAAGGGGGAACAGACUAAAACCAGAAGAGGAAAUUUAGGUUAGAUGUUAAGAAGAAAUUUUUUACUCAGAGGGUGGUGAAGAGCUCAAAUAAAUUGGCCAGAGAAGCUGUGGAUGCCCCAUCCUUGGAGGCAUCCAAGUCCAGGUUGGAUGGGGCCCUGGGCAGCCUGAGCUGGUGGGUGGCAGCCCUGACUAUGGCUGGACGGCUGGGACUAGAUGAUCUGUAAGGUCCCUUCCAACCCAAGGCAUUCAAUGAUUCUAUACACCCAUGAUAAAUGGCACAACAAAACCUGAUUUCAUUAAGCAGUUUUUAAAUUUCAAAUGUGUCAGAACUUUCUGGUCAGAAUACUGUUUUUACCAUGGGUAUCUAAUGUUAAGUAAGAGGCCCUUUAUAUAGAGAGUAAUAUUAGCAUAGGAUCUCAAAACUUUUUUUUUCUUUUUUUUCUUUCUUUUUUUUUUUCUGGUAAUAAGAUACAAAAUGCAAAGUAAAAGCAGUAUUUUUGUGUACCUCAGUUUUGUUUGACACAUUAGCAGAGUUUCAAGAUCAUUAAACAGUCAGUAACAAACAUAUAAGAACUACUUCUGGUAUUUUAAGAAAGGUCCAUUUCUCUGUAAUGCUGUCUUAUUUUCACUUUGGAGAUUGGUCUGAGGCGUUACUCUCCCAAUUUGACUGCUUCUAAGAACACAGAAAAAGAAGAAAAAUGGUGACACAACCACGGAUGUGCCCCCUUACCAAACACAUGAAACUGAAUUGCCUUUCAAAGUUAAGCCCCGGAGCAGUAGAUGGUGUAUAGCUUUCUCUCAGAAAGAGAUCAGAGAGAGAGUUUGAUAGCAGCCAGGUGCCAUCAGGUGCUGGGAAGAACCAGGAGAGAGGCAGUCUGUUCAGACAAUGUAGUUUUAUUUGUUCUUAGUAAGAACCACC